UUGAACGCUGGCGGAAUGCUUUACACAUGCAAGUCGAACGGCAGCACGGGGGCAACCCUGGUGGCGAGUGGCGAACGGGUGAGUAAUGUAUCGGAACGUACCCAGUCGUGGGGGAUAACUAUCCGAAAGGAUAGCUAAUACCGCAUACGUCCUGAGGGAGAAAGCGGGGGAUCGCAAGACCUCGCGCGGACGGAGCGGCCGAUGGCAGAUUAGGUAGUUGGUGGGAUAAAAGCUUACCAAGCCGACGAUCUGUAGCUGGUCUGAGAGGACGACCAGCCACACUGGGACUGAGACACGGCCCAGACUCCUACGGGAGGCAGCAGUGGGGAAUUUUGGACAAUGGGCGAAAGCCUGAUCCAGCCAUGCCGCGUGCAGGAUGAAGGCCUUCGGGUUGUAAACUGCUUUUGUACGGAACGAAAAAGUCUUCUCUAAUACAGGGGGCGAAUGACGGUACCGUAAGAAUAAGCACCGGCUAACUACGU
rnacentral:rRNA from 1 species